rnacentral:tRNA from 1 species
GUCUAGAGGCCUAGGACACCGCCCUUUCACGGCGGUAACGGGGGUUCGAACCCCCCUG